CCUACGUGUGGCUGCCGUGGGGACUAUUGGGCAAUGGGCGCAAGCCUUCCCCAGCAACGCCGCGUGAAGGAAGACGGCUUUCGGGUUGUACACUCCUUUUUAGCGGGAAGAGCAGAAGACGGUACCUCUUGAAUAAGCACCGGCCAACUACGUGCCAGUAGUCAAGGUAAUACGUAGGUGGCAAGCUUAGUCCGGAUUUACUGGGUGUAACGGGCGUGCUGCAGGGAAGACAAGUCAGAUGUGAAAUACAGCGGCUCAACCGCGGAACUGCAUUUGAAACUGGUUUUUUUGAGUAUCGGAGAGGUCAUCGGAAUGCCUUGUGUAGCGGUGAAAUGCGUAGAGAUAAGGAAGAACACCAGUGGCGAAGGCGGAUGACUGGACGGCAACUGACGGUGAGGCGCGAAAGCGUGGGGAUCAAACAGGAGUAGAUACCCCAGUAGUC
rnacentral:rRNA from 1 species